ACGGAAGGCAGCAGUGGGGAAUAUUGCACAAUGGGGGAAACCCUGAUGCAGCGACGCCGCGUGAGUGAAGAAGUAUUUCGGUAUGUAAAGCUCUAUCAGCAGGAAAGAAAAUGACGGUACCUGACUAAGAAGCCCCGGCUGACUACGUGCCAGCAGCCGCGGUAAUACGUAGGGGGCAAGCGUUAUCCGGAUUUACUGGGUGUAAAGGGAGCGUAGACGGCUUUGCAAGUCUGAAGUGAAAGCCCGGGGCUCAACCCCGGAACUGCUUUGGAAACUGUAGAGCUAGAGUGCAGGAGAGGUAAGUGGAAUUCCUAGUGUAGCGGUGAAAUGCGUAGAUAUUAGGAGGAACACCAGUGGCGAAGGCGGCUUACUGGACUGUAACUGACGUUGAGGCUCGAAGGCGUGGGGAGCAAACAGGAUUAGAUACCCUGGUA
rnacentral:rRNA from 1 species